rnacentral:rRNA from 1 species
AGAGUUUGAUCAUGGCUCAGAAUGAACGCUGGCGGCAUGCCUAACACAUGCAAGUUGAACGAGAUCUUCGGAUCUAGUGGCGCACGGGUGAGUAACGCGUGGGAACCUACCUUUUAGUAUGGGAUAACGUUUGGAAACGAACGCUAAUACCAUAUACGCCCUCCGGGGGAAAGGUCAGCCGCUGAAAGAGGGGCCCGCGUCUGAUUAGCUUGUUGGUAGGGUAAUGGCCUACCGAGGCUACGAUCAGUAGCUGGUCUGAGAGGAUGAUCAGCCACACUGGGACUGAGACACGGCCCAGACUCCUACGGGAGGCAGCAGUGGGGAAUAUUGGACAAUGGAGGCAACUCUGAUCCAGCCAUCCGCGUGUGUGAUGAA